rnacentral:rRNA from 1 species
AUUGAACGCUGGCGGCAGGCCUAACACAUGCAAGUCGAGCGGCAGCGGGAAAGUAGCUUGCUACUUUUGCCGGCGAGCGGCGGACGGGUGAGUAAUGCCUGGGAAAUUGCCCAGUCGAGGGGGAUAACAGUUGGAAACGACUUCUAAUACCGCAUACGCCCUACGGGGGAAAGCAGGGGACCUUCGGGCCUUGCGCGAUUGGAUAUGCCCAGGUGGGAUUAGCUAGUUGGUGAGGUAAUGGCUCACCAAGGCGACGAUCCCUAGCUGGUCUGAGAGGAUGAUCAGCAACACUGGAACUGAGACACGGUCCAGACUCCUACGGGAGGCAGCAGUGGGGAAUAUUGCACAAUGGGGGAAACCCUGAUGCAGCAAUGCCGCGUGUGUGAAGAAGGCCUUCGGGUUGUAAAGCACUUUCAGCGAGGAGGAAAGGUUGUUGGCUAAUAUCCAACAGCUGUGACGUUACUCGCAGAAGAAGCACCGGCUAACUCCGUGCCAGCCGCCGCCGUAAUAC